GAGAGUCCACUUUAUUUUGUAGAGGGUUCCCUCCCAACUUUUACCAGUAACUUUUGCUUUGUUCAUAAUCACACUUGUCCUCCACCACCACCGCUGACCGGUUUAAAUACACCACAUUCCUCAGACCCCUCCUCCCCCACAUCACAUUCCCACUUGAAGAAGAUCUCAGAAAAAUGAGAGACAAAGUCAGAGAAAUGGGCAAGUUCCCAUCCCAUCUCAUUGCCAGAGCCAGACCCCAUAAACAUGAAGUUUCACCUCUGUCACCCACAUUGUGCAAGUUUUGCUGAAGUACUGAAAAUGGAGGCCUUAGCUGCUGACUUCUUGUUGUUCCACAUUCCUCAAGCAACCUUUCUCCACGCGUGCAGUUUUCUGUGAGAUCAGAGAUAUGGGUCCUCCUAAAUCAUGACAACUAAGAGUUAUUUUUGUAACAUUUCAACUUGUUGGCAUUCACUUGGAAAUGAAGGCUAGCUACAUCAAUUGUACCUCAACUUCUUCAGAGGUGUAGCAUUUUCUGAUAUUCCAGCUGUGCUCGACCCAUUUGGAAAGAUGACCCUUUUGUUGUUUGGAUUGAUGUAUGAAGUAUUGUUCUCUUU